rnacentral:rRNA from 1 species
GACAGAGGUGCCGAGCGUUAGGCGGAAUCACUGGGCUUAAAGCGUGUGUAGGCGGGCGGCCAAGUACCUUGUGAAAUCCCACGGCUCAACCGUGGAACUGCUGGGUAUACUGGUCGUCUUGAGCCAAUCAGGGGCGAGCGGAACAGACGGUGGAGCGGUGAAAUGCGCAGAUAUCAGGAGGAACACCGGUGGCGAAAGCGGCGUGCUGGCCCUCUUCUGACGCUGAGGCGCGAAAGCCAGGGGAGCGAACGGG